rnacentral:rRNA from 1 species
AAAUUGAAGAGUUUGAUCAUGGCUCAGAUUGAACGCUGGCGGCAGGCCUAACACAUGCAAGUCGAACGGUAGCACAGAGAGCUUGCUCUCGGGUGACGAGUGGCGGACGGGUGAGUAAUGUCUGGGAAACUGCCUGAUGGAGGGGGAUAACUACUGGAAACGGUGGCUAAUACCGCAUAACGUCGCAAGACCAAAGAGGGGGACCUUCGGGCCUCUUGCCAUCAGAUGUGCCCAGAUGGGAUUAGCUAGUUGGUGAGGUAACGGCUCACCAAGGCGACGAUCCCUAGCUGGUCUGAGAGGAUGACCAGCCACACUGGAACUGAGACACGGUCCAGACUCCUACGGGAGGCAGCAGUGGGGAAUAUUGCACAAUGGGCGCAAGCCUGAUGCAGCCAUGCCGCGUGUAUGAAGAAGGCCUUCGGGUUGUAAAGUACUUUCAGCGGGGAGGAAGGUGUUGCGGUUAAUAACCGCAGCAAUUGACGUUACCCGCAGAAGAAGCACCGGCUAACUCCGUGCCAGCAGCCGCGGUAAUACGGAGGGUGCAAGCGUUAAUCGGAAUUACUGGGCGUAAAGCGCACGCAGGCGGUCUGUCAAGUCGGAUGUGAAAUCCCCGGGCUCAACCUGGGAACUGCAUUCGAAACUGGCAGGCUUGAGUCUUGUAGAGGGGGGUAGAAUUCCAGGUGUAGCGGUGAAAUGCGUAGAGAUCUGGAGGAAUACCGGUGGCGAAGGCGGCCCCCUGGACAAAGACUGACGCUCAGGUGCGAAAGCGUGGGGAGCAAACAGGAUUAGAUACCCUGGUAGUCCACGCCGUAAACGAUGUCUACUUGGAGGUUGUGCCCUUGAGGCGUGGCUUCCGGAGCUAACGCGUUAAGUAGACCGCCUGGGGAGUACGGCCGCAAGGUUAAAACUCAAAUGAAUUGACGGGGGCCCGCACAAGCGGUGGAGCAUGUGGUUUAAUUCGAUGCAACGCGAAGAACC